GAUGAAGAACGUAGCGAAAUGCGAUAAGUAAUGUGAAUUGCAGAAUUCAGUGAAUCAUCGAAUCUUUGAACGCACCUUGCGCCUUUUGGUAUUCCGAAAGGCACACCUGUUUGAGCGUCAUGAAUACCUCAAUCUCCAUCUUUUCUUCGGAUUGAUGGGUGACUUGGAUGUUGAGCCCUGCUGGUAUGCUAUAUCAGCUGGCUUUAAACUUAUUAGCCGGCUCUGUACUGGAUCGGUUUGACUCGACGUGAUAAUAUUAUCGUUGAGGAUGCAUGUCUCAUGCAGCCGGAAAGUAUCAAAGCAGCUUCUAGAUUGCCUUUAGUGCACUUUUACAUUUUAGACCUCAGAUCAGGUGGGACUACCCGCUGAACUUAAGCAUAUCAAUAAGCGGAGGA
rnacentral:misc_RNA from 1 species